rnacentral:lncRNA from 1 species
AACCCUCGAGUUGGCACCGAUAAUUUUACUUUUAUACUAAGUGUUAACCCCUAGUUGAUGCUGAUAUUGUCUCCCAUCACCGUUUAUUUGUUUUCCCAACUUUACAUCAUUUCAUCUCCACCUUUCAGGAUACAAUUCAGGGUCUUUUCGUAUUUAAUUAUCUUCCACCACAAACGUAAAAAGACUGUUGUCAUUCAUACUUUCAGGUUCAAGGUAAUUAAAUAGUGGCAACUGUCAUACCCCGAAUUUUC